GGCCUUCGGAUUGUAUAGUACUGUCUUUGGGGAAUAACGACUGAUUUGAAAAUAUUGAGUCAGUAUGACGGUACCCAAGGAGGAAGCCCCGGCUAACUACGUGCCAGCAGCCGCGGUAAUACGUAGGGGGCAAGCGUUGUCCGGAAUUAUUGGGCGUAAAGGGCGCGUAGGCGGAUUUUUAAGUCUGGUGUGAAAGAUCAGGGCUCAACCCUGAGAGUGCAUCGGAAACUGGAGAUCUUGAGGACAGGAGAGGAAAGUGGAAUUCCACGUGUAGCGGUGAAAUGCGUAGAUAUGUGGAGGAACACCAGUGGCGAAGGCGACUUUCUGGACUGUAACUGACGCUGAGGCGCGAAAGCGUGGGGAGCAAACAGGAUUAGAUACCCUGGUAGUCCACGCUGUAAACGAUGAGUGCUAGGUGUAGAGGGUAUCGACCCCUUCUGUGCCGCAGUUAACACAAUAAGCACUCCGCCUGGGGAGUACGGCCGCAAGGUUGAAACUCAAAUGAAUUGACGG
rnacentral:rRNA from 1 species